UGGCGACCGGCGCACGGGUGAGUAACGCGUGUGCAACUUACCUAUCAGAGGGGGAUAGCCCGGCGAAAGUCGGAUUAAUACCCCAUGAAACAGGGGUCCCGCAUGGGAAUAUUUGUUAAAGAUUCAUCGCUGAUAGAUAGGCAUGCGUUCCAUUAGGCAGUUGGCGGGGUAACGGCCCACCAAACCGACGAUGGAUAGGGGUUCUGAGAGGAAGGUCCCCCACAUUGGUACUGAGACACGGCCAA
rnacentral:rRNA from 1 species